GAGCUGGUGUCCCAAGCCAACUCCUAACCAACACUUCACUCAGCCGGCCCUAAAUAUUAUUAAUGAAACAUCUUUCAUCCUUUUUUGGUGCUGUCUUCAAACUCCAGUGUGUAUUUUACACUUACAAGCACAUCUCAAUUCACACUAGCCAUAUUUCAAAGUGCUCAAUAGCUACAUGUGGCUAGUGGCUAUCAUAUGUGACAAUGCAGGAUUAAAUUUUGAAGACAGUUCAGGAUACUUGCAGAACAAAGUUCCUCAACACACAUUCAUCAGUCACCUUACCUUCUCAGGUGUCUCUGGGUCAAGUGAUUGAGCUUAUCUAGAGAGCAAUGCCCAGAUGCUAGAGUCUAAGCUCUAUACCCAAGGGACAAAAUCCUAUACAUGUAUCUGUUGGUCUGAGAUUAUUUGCCCUGAAUUUUCAGUAAGGAAUACUGACUAAAAAUCAAUUGAGGAUUACAUAUGGAAAACAUUUGUUUGAGAUUUCCAAAGAAGAAAAAUGGAAAAUACUUAAGUCACUUUAAAAAUUAAAUUCAUUAUUCAAUGUAGAAAAUCAUAUUAUUCAUAUAUAAUGAAUGUCUACAACUUGCCUAGAGAGGGGAGAAUAAGAAUUGAAUCCAAUCCCCUCAUUCAUUUCUUUUCUUUCAGCAUCAAUGCAGAGGGAAGAAGAGGAGCAAAGACAGAACAUUUUACCCCUCUUCCUGCUCUAUGUGAUUCCAGGACCCCAGUGAAGCCAAGGUUGACAUGGGAGGGUAAGCCAAUGGCCACUUGGAAACUGGAAAUUUGGUAUCCUCAAUGAAUCAGGAACACUGCCUGAAUACCUUUUAGAAGAUUUUCUUUCUUGAUCUAGGCAUUUGACAAGCACUAGGAAGCUCAGAUUAUAUGGCUUUGGGUGUGGUAGAGGUAGAUCUUACCUCUCAAAAUUCUUGAAUACAUAAAACUGUUAAGUUGAUAAGAGACCUAAUCAUGGCCCCUUCCCCAGUCCACCUUUCUCUCUCAGCCACCUGCGUUUCAGGGAUGGCUAAGCUGGGGUUGCUUAGCUCUUUGAAAGAAACCUUUAGGCAGAUCAGGAGACAAGCUGAUCACAAAAAAUUCAAUUCCCACCCUUGAUAGUUCCCACCCUGCCCCCUCACCUGUGACAAGGAAGGCCAGAGGGCCCUGAGAUGUUGAUCAUGGUUCACACAGGACCCUCAGUCCAAGGAGAAGCGUAGACAAAGUUUUUAGCUCCUCACACCCAUCAGCAUGGGUAAAUCAUGGCAGAGUAGGACUGUAUGGGAAACAAGAGAGGCAGUCCAGAGUCAUUCCAAGUCAAUCAGUGGCAGGACAUGACCCAAGGGAUAAGAGUGGAGUUGUGGCCCAACAGACUUCAGCCACGGAGAAGUGCCCCAGGCAGAGAACUGAGAGAAGAGUGUCUGGAGGGGAUUACCACAGAGGGGAGCAUCUUCUUGGAGUUUCCACUUUAGGAAAAGGAAGUUUGAGAUUAAUUUAGGGGUUCCUUCAAGGGCCGGAGAGUUCAGGGAGAUAGUGAAGUCUAAGAAGACUCUAGCACCUAAGCCACAAUCAGAAGAUGUUCUGAGAGCCAGCGAGCUGGGAGAUGCCUGGAAGCUAAAUGGUUAUCUGAGUAUCUGAGUGGUCAAGGGGCUCCAGUGACCAAGGAAUGUCCCCACCCUGAGAGUGCUGGUUGCUGAAGAUUCAGGAUGGCCAAGCCUUAAAGAACAUAAUACAGCCAUACAAAUGAGCAAAUAAUUGGUAUAGUACUGUCAUUACAAAAUUACACACACACACACACACACACACACACACACACACACACUCACACACUCACACACACACACACACUACUAUAAAAGGAUUCAGGGGCUUGUCAAAGUGAGAAAACCCAAUAAAGACCCGACUUCCCAGGAACUGGCUGA